rnacentral:tRNA from 2 species
AAGACAUUAGUAAAACUAUUACAAGACCUUGUCAAGGCCUAAUUAUAAGCUAAAACCUUGUAUGUCUUA